GACGAACGCUGGCGGCGUGCUUAACACAUGCAAGUCGAACGGUGAACCUCUUCGGAGGGGAUCAGUGGCGAACGGGUGAGUAACACGUGGGCAACCUGCCCCCGGCUCUGGGAUAACUCCAAGAAAUUGGGGCUAAUACCGGAUGUUCACCGCUUCCCGCAUGGGUGGUGGUGUAAAGGGUUUCCGGCUGGGGAUGGGCCCGCGGCCUAUCAGCUUGUUGGUGGGGUAGUGGCCUACCAAGGCGACGACGGGUAGCCGGCCUGAGAGGGUGACCGGCCACACUGGGACUGAGACACGGCCCAGACUCCUACGGGAGGCAGCAGUGGGGAAUAUUGCGCAAUGGGCGGAAGCCUGACGCAGCGACGCCGCGUGGGGGAUGACGGCCUUCGGGUUGUAAACCUCUUUCAGCAGGGACGAAGCGCAAGUGACGGUACCUGCAGAAGAAGCACCGGCCAACUACGUG
rnacentral:rRNA from 1 species